GUGUCCUUGGCAGAGUGGUCGAUUGCAACUGAUUGUGGAUCAGUACAUAAGAAACGUCAUGGGUUCAAAUCCCAUAGGACACC
rnacentral:tRNA from 1 species